AUGCAUUCUUGGUGGGAGAUUGCGAAUGCGAUUAACAUCCAUCAAGAGACUCUGCAUCUGACGCUUCAGCCAGUAAUGAUGCUUAUCAUGUUUCUAAUGCAAGGCCACAAGAAGCUCUCAGUCAUUGAGCACACGAGAUCUCUUCCGAGGCCUUGGAGCAAUAGUGCUUUCAGUGGCUUCAGUAUGGGCACGACGAGGUGCACGAGUAUUUCCAGCCAAAGGAUAAACACGAGUGGUAGCAUGAACUCCUUCAACAUGUUGAGAGAAACUUUGACGAUCGACAUUGUGAAAAUAAAUUGCCUCCUUGGCAGGUUUUGGGUAUAUGGCUUCAAUAGACAUUAUCAACCUCUGGCAAGAAUAUGA
rnacentral:rRNA from 1 species